rnacentral:rRNA from 1 species
GUGGAGCCAAUCCCAGAAAGCCGAUCGUAGUCCGGAUUGUUCUCUGCAACUCGAGAGCAUGAAGUCGGAAUCGCUAGUAAUCGCGGAUCAGCAUGUCGCGGUGAAUACGUUCCCGGGUCUUGUACACACCGCCCGUCACACCAUGGGAGUGGAAUCUGCCAGAAGUAGGUAGCCUAACC